rnacentral:rRNA from 1 species
CCCCCAGAACAAGCCGAUCCCGUCUGAGCUCGGAAGCUAAGCAGGGUUAGGCCUGGUUAGUACUUGGAUGGGAGAUCACCUAGGAAGACCGGGUGCUAUAGGCG